GUGCUGCACACAGGGCCAUGCCCAACCAGCAGGCUCUCAGAGGACUCUUGAGGUGGAAAUGAAAACAGAUAGCUGUGAUGAAGAGGUCGUUGGUCAUGUUGUCCUCUGUGCACUGCAUGCCCAUCACGCAGAUUUCUCAUCCACUCCGGGAGGUUUGUGCCUCUGUCUGUGUGUCCAGGUAGCAUCUCUGCAGCUAUUCGGGAGGCUAAGGCAGGAGGAUUGCCUGAUCCUGCGGAGGUAGAGGCUGCAGUGAGCCCUCCAGCCUGCACUCCAGCCUGGGCAACAGAGUGAGACUCUGUCUUAAGAAGAAAGAAAGAAAGAGAGAAAGAAAGAGAGAGACACAAAGAAAGAAAGAAAGAAAGAGAGAAAGAAAGAAAGAGAGAGAAGAAAGAAAAAGAAAAAAAGAAAGAAAGAAAGAGAAAGAAGAAGGAAGGAAGGGAAAAAGAAACAACAGGACCAGCCUGGGCAACACAGUACUUUGUUAACCAGUGGAAGUACAAAGAUGAACAAACCAUACUCCUCCCCUCAAGACAACUCUUUCAUGAGGGAGAUAACCCAGGAAAUAGGAGUCUAUUCAUGAGACCGCUGCUCUAACUAGAAGAAUAGGAAGCACCAGAAGGUCACAAAAGAGGAACUGAUUAGCUCAACCUGAGAAAGUCUCCCAAAGCUUCACAGAGGAAGGAAUGCUGAAGUGGGGAUGAAGAGGAGUUGAUCAGAAAAAAAAUGACCAGAGCUGGGUUGGAUGGCUAAUGCAGGAACGACAUGCCAACAUUUGCAAGAGGUGGAAUGUGCUGUUACAUUGAAGUACAAAGAGCAGUAAGAUGAAAUUUAAUAGGAACCAACAUGCAGGAGGUUCAAAAAGAAACAGCACAAGUAAUGAGUGGAAGAUGAGAUUUAAGAGGAAUUAUGAAAAAGCUCAGAGAUUUUAACUGACGCAAACGUAAUCUGAGUCAACAGCCCAGCUUUGCCACUAAACUCUGCGACCCUCUGCAAAACAAGCAAGCGGAUAAACCCAAACUGUAACCAAACCAAAACAGAAAUCUCAAUACAAGGUUAGGUUUCUGUAGUGGUGUAAUGCUCAAAUCCUAGAAAUAAAUACACCCAUUGAUUUCUUCAUCCAUCA